GAAGGGCAGCCAGCCGCAGGACACAGGCUUCCUCCCUGGUGGGCCCAGCGUGGCAGAACCAGCCGGGCACGGCAGUGUGGCAGGCAGGAGCACACACGCUGCCCCUAUCGCCAGCCCGAGGAAGAAGCAGCUCGCAGCCAGGACCACAGGGAAGGCCGAGGUCAGCUGAGACUUCUGGCACGUGUGCGCUUCCUGGGACACUUCGUCUGUGAAGAGGAGUGGAGAGAGAGAGAGAGAGAGAGAGAGCGCACAAGAAGGGGAGCAGCAGACG